UUAACCUGCAUCGAGGGAUUCACGGCCAGACGAAUAUAGUGUUUGAGUCAUGUUCAAAGCUAUCGGUCAUUGUUCAUGGCCUGUUGGUUGUAUUACAACCCCCACUGAAGACCUUUUCCAAGAAAAACUCAGUAUUCCAAAGAAUUCUUCCCAGCCGGUGGACAAAGGCUAAAAAAACGAAAGUGGAAAGUGUCAUUUUGGGCAAAAACUUCAAAAAGAAAUUGGCAGCAGACGGUAAAAGCUUUGUGAUAGAAGAGAAAUACUUGCAGCAUGCCUACCGUUUCCUUUCAACACUACGAUCCUGCUUGCUGCUUUCCUAUGAUGGACUGUACAGUUAUUUCAUCUCCGUAUCAGAAACGCUGCCUUCCUCAUGCAAGCUGGAGCUUGAAAAACUGGAUCUGAAAGUCCGGCUCAGUGAGUUAUCUGACAAAGUGACGGUAAGUUUGCUCAUUGCUUAUUCUGUAAUCUGAUACUAACCUGUCACCCCAAACUAGUUUCCUUAUACUAUUGGGGUAUUAAAAAGUGCUUUACAUACUGUAUUCUCUGUGUUUACACAAAUUGUUGAUUAUUUAAUAUUUUAACCAUAGGAAAUAGAAGACCCCAAUGAUCUGGCAGAAGCAAUAAAUAGCAGCCUAAUAGAACUAUCAGCUCAACUUCUCAAUCUGUGGGGAAAAUUUCUUCAAUCCUCCUUCGAGAGUGAACAAGAGAAGAAGCAAAUAAAGGAAGAAAAGUUCAAGAAAUUAUUCUUUUCUACUGACCAUCCCCAACAAGAAGCUAUUUUAUAUGAUGAGAAGAUAACCGAAAGCCACAAAGAGAUUUAUGAAAAAGUCAAAAAAGCUCCAAAAGAUGAUUGUCUCGAGUGCCGGGACACGGACAUGGUAUCAAAAUCUGCCCCCGUUGUCUUUGAAGACCGGUACUUAGAGCCUGAAGCAAUAGGUACGUAUGGAAAGAAUCCACAGGUGCUGCUGCCUCAGUGUGUGACAGUUG